rfam:Oryza sativa (indica cultivar-group) chromosome 2, whole genome shotgun sequence.
UUUAAGUGAAAUCAUAAAUUACCGUGUUUAAUUUUAAUCGUUUGUUUUAUUUAAUUUUUUUAUAAUUAGUAUUUUUUGUUAUUAUGAGAUGAUAAAAUAUGAAUAGUAAUUUAUACAUGACUUAUGUUUUUAAAUUUUUUUUAGAAAAUUUUAAUUAAGACAGACAAUUAAAGUUGUGUACGGAAAAUCAUAGCUGUACUUAAU